UGCUCUUUGUGUCUCUGGUCUCUAGGUGCUGACUCCACUGUAGCUGGUGUCAGAGACAAGCCCCCUCCAGCUUGGAUCAGGAACUUUUAAGAAGCUUUUUCUGCAGCCUCCCUGAGCUGAGCCAAAUGAGCUGGAUGAGAGAAAAAGGGCCUGCAGCACCGUUGGGCAAGCUCUCUUCUUGCCGUGGGCCGAUGCAGGCCCAAGUAGUUGCAAGGGGAUGGGCAAACCAAGGAGAAAUAUAAAACAUCUCUGCCUUCAACUUAGCACGAGCACAGAUCCACUCGACUCCCAUCAAACUUAGCUUUUGUUUUCCUGGCUGGAAGGUUCGUACAAGAUAAAAUUCUCUGCAGAGCUGGGAUCUGCUGGAUGCAGUCAAAAGGAGAGUUCAGCCCUGCCUUUCAAAGGGGAUGUUCGGUUAAAGCCAAACGUAGAGGAGAGGGGAGUUAGUUUGCUUGAUAUGAAUUUAAGGAGUGUUGUCCAGUGUGGCUCACAGUCCAAAUCAGCUCUGAGACGUUCAUAGUUUUGACUUGUACUUGUCACUCUCGUGUCUCCCCCCAGCCUGAUCGCAGCUACUGGCCUUGUGACUGUUCUGCAGGUUUGAUGCACAAGGCCAGGUUGUCAAAGAGACCUCCCUCAACAUCCUUAGCACGGAAAUACUCCUGCCGUGCCUUGUUAAUACCUAUGCACCUUCUUACGCCUGUGAAAGCUGCUUGUUCCUAAACUGGGUGGCUUUCUCAGCCAGCAAAUAGGCUCAGCGAGUAGGGCAGAGUGGGCCGAUUCAUCAGCUCUCCAAGAGGACCUGCAGCUGCGCUGGAUCCUAAACUAGACCCAGCUCUCCCGCCUGCACGCAGAGCCUCGUCAUGGUAACCUGUAACAUGCCUUGGCCAGCUCUGGAGCCACCGGCUGGCCAGAGGCUGGGAGCUGGCUGGUGGCUGAAGCAGAGUGUUGUUCCCUGGGCGCCGUUGCUUUUCGCUGGCCAUCGCAGUGCUCCGAGCAGGCAGCAGGAAGGGGCUGUUGCAGCAAAUGAGUGGUGCUGCUUGUGUUGCAGAUCGAUAUCCCAAAUCCUGCUAGAAGGGCAGCAUUAGGAGAACCUGGGAUUUAAAAGCUGGCCGAGCUGGUUUCCAUGGAGGUUCUAGCUUCAGGUCCCAAGCUCACUCCUCCAUGCCCAGCCUGACAAGAGGCAGAGAGAGCAGCUGUGGCAGCUACCUCGCCUCCAGGGCCUUCCUGGGUAACAACCACGGAGUGGCUAACCCAAGUGGCCCUGGCCCCGAGGCUUCCCCUGCUUCACCGUGAAGGCCAGCCAGCCCGGCGAGGGGACUUCAGGGUACAGGAGGGACAGGCAACAUGGCAAGGGCCUGCGAGCCACACUCACUUGGAGAGGGAAGUUAUAGAAACGCCUUGGCCUCCCUCUCCCCGUCAGCCUGAGCCCCAGAGCGGCUGCUCCUCUUCUCGCCAGCUUAGCUGUUUUCCUUUGCAGACCUCAGUGGCUUCUGCCUGGAUUUUGGCUCGUUUCAGUCAGGAAAUAGCCGAUUCAUAACAGCAGCAACCACAGCGAUCCGCAGAAGUCAUGCAAGGCGCAGCCAGCAACUUCUGCACUGCCAGAAGGGCAGCGGGGGGCGGGGGGAGGGAAGAGGCACUUGCAGUCAAUGCCUGAAAGGCCCAGAUGGAUCUGCUGGAGGCGGGAAAGAGCGGAGCAGGGUGGAGCUGGUCCCAAGCUUGCAAGAUGCAUAAGGGCAGCAGUAGCACUGGGCUUUCUGCCCCUGCGGCAAAGGUUUUGCAGGCGCUGCUCUGUGGGCAGAGGGCCUGUUGGUUCAGAACUGUUUCCUCCAGCUCCUCUGGCUGAUGGAGGCAACAGGAUGCCACAGGAAAAGCUCCUUCUCCCCCUCUCCUCAGAAAAGAUGACAGGCCCGCGUCCCGGCUGGAGGAGCUCAGUGUGGUCUAGGCAGUCGUGGGGAUCUAUACCAGCAGGAAGCAUUCUGCUGGGGAGGGGUGAGGCAGGGCUACAGGCAGAAGUGCGGCUCAUCACGUUGCAUUCCUCUAGCCCCUCCUGCCCGAGAAUCUCAAAGCACUUUGCGACAAUUACUGAACUAGGCAGGCAGUUGAUCCCCUGCCUGGGGAAAUGGCGGCACGGAGGGAGGGAGGGGCUGUGAAAUGAUUUCAGGGUCUGGCAUACAGUAUAUAUGACAGAUUCUAUAGACAGAUUCUUUGUCCUGUGCUUUACCCACUAGACCGUGCUUCCUCCACACGGUUCCCUCAUGAUGUUCCUGACGCUUUGGCGUGCCUCUCCAAAAAGCCUCAUCAGCUCAUUUCUGGAGUUGGCAAAGCUCCAAAUGUCUGGCUCCGGUGCUCCUCUGAAUAUCUCUACAUGUCUCUCUCUCCCCUUGGGCUUGUGCCAAAGUGUUCCCUGGGUUGGGUAGGGAAUGAGACUCGUACAACCUGGGAAGAGCAGAGAGGUAGGAAAACAACCACAAGAAACAAAAAAUAGCCCCCAAAGUUACCCACACUUCCAUAGCCACGCAGAGUGGUUCAGUUCACAUUCAGGUCAAAUUUCCAUGGGUGGGUCUUGUAGCCAAGCUGGCCUGUCCCAUGGGAUUUGGAACUUUUCUUUGCUCGUUUCACUGGGCUGAGUCCGCGUGGGUUAAAAAUAAACGUUAUUUAUGGACAGAUGAUUUAAUAAUAAUCACUGGAGUUUCUUGCCCCUUCUCUGAAGUACCGAUACUGGUCAUGAUUAGAGGUAGGAUACUGGGCUAGAUGGACCCACGGGUCUGAUCCAGUCUGGCCGCCCCUCAACUCACACUUGUCAGAGAGCACGCAGUACAUUCUGGUGUUUAGGGCUGUGUGAUAAAAUGUUCCAUUUAUAACGCACUUUUCUUCCUGAAGCAUGGACCCGGCUAGAUAAACACAGCUUCACUACCCCUGCAGCCACUUCUAGGCUGGGGGAAAGCUGCCAUCUCGCAACAGGACAGGGCAUGGUAUUGUGGCAGGGGGAAUACUGAUCAGAAGCACACACUUUCUCUGGUAGGUAUGUUCUGGAGACCUUCAAUCUCCUUUGGUUUGAAGGGCUCAUUGGACAGAUCCACCCACUUGUCACUUUCUAGGGUUCAGUCCUUGCUUCCCUUGGAAGAACAAAGGGAUGUGGUCGCUCUGGUAGGAUUCAAACGUGUAGUUUUAGGGAAUCCAGGUGUUUCCACACACAAUGCAUUGCCACCUAAAUGUCACGUCGGCCAUUUUGUAGGCUCCCUCAGCAGCCGUUCGUCACACAGCACGGUCUGAAUCUCCCAUGGAAAGGGUGGUGCUAAUGGCCGACGAACAGUGUGUUUGUCUACAAAGCGGAGCAGGCUGCCAGCUGCUAAAGAUUUCCAUCCCCUCUCAGGCUGCGUGACAAGUUACUAAACAGUAACACUGGGAAACUAAUUGCUGUAUCCAAUGCAGCCUGGCAAAGGGGUCAGAGAUGCCUUUCGCUGCCUGAUGCCCUUGGAAGCUCCAUAUGUAGCCAGAAUGGAAAGCCAGGAGCUUCUGACAGGGACAGGGACAGGAGGUGGGGAGGGCAGGACAGGAGGGUGCUCAGAAGGACUCUGAUGGGAGACAAGUCUUCAGGGACUGCACUUCUCUAUGGAGAAAAUUGAAACUGUGCCUGAGAGAGUCAUUCCCUGCUGGUCAGAUCCAAGGGAAUUGCUGGGAAAGUUCAAGAGAUCACACAGUUGGGCUAGGAGAGAGGUAGGAGUGGGCAGCUCUUACAUGCCCUGCUCUUUGCAGGCAAAGGUCUAGUUGGGUAGGAGAUGCCCAUUGGACUGGUGCACAGGAGUCCAGUGGAAAUCCAUAGAGAAUUACGUGCUUUCAACGGAAUGUUUAAAUCAGGGCAUGGAAUCCUGGAGCCUGCUACAAUCCACUCUUAAAUUCUCGGGGGCAGUUUGACGACUCUCUGAAGUACAAAAGCACAGAGCCAAAUUCUAAGGGAUCAGCGCCAGCUCCCACCUGCUGAGAAUUGGGCCCAAGGGCUAAAAUAACAUCGAAGCACUUUUCAUCCUCCUGUUAGGUUGCUCAUACUACAUGCGGUGAGAGCAGGUCCCAUCCAGUUGCUCUACCCCUCUGGCAUUAGCACUAGGCAUGGAGCCAAAUCUAGGUGCAAAACGUUGGUCUUGUGCAUGGUAAUAUUUUCAAAAGCCCCUAAGGGAUUUAGGAGCCUAAUUCCCACUGACAACAUCUCCUUGAAUU